rnacentral:tRNA from 2 species
CAGCGUCGAGCGGCGGUGCGCCACCAGCAGCGUCGUGCGCUGCGCGGUCAGCUCGUGCAGCGUCUCGUGGAUCGCCGCCUCGGUCGCCGU